UAAAAAUGAAUUGUCUCCGCGGU
rnacentral:siRNA from 1 species